rnacentral:lncRNA from 1 species
AUGGAAUACCGGAAUGCGUUAGAGUCAAGGUCAUUAGGAUUAUAUUAAACCAAAAGGGAAAGGUCGAACUUGCGUAACCAACUCAGCUUGGAAACAAAAUGAAAUGCAGAUUUCAUGCAUCAUUCCAUAUGAAUGACAUAGAGAUAUAUCACAAAGGUAGGUGAGAAAACGAUUACUCAUAAGAAUUUGAAACUGGAAAUGUGAUGCUCACAGACUCGAAACGCCGCUUAAGAAAUUGUAUAUAAACAAACAAGAGCAUCAAGAAUUAAAUUGUACUCUUAAUUUACUUAUUUAACUAUACUUUUUAAUUUUUCAAAUAUUCAUAAGCUUAAAGGAUUGGAUAUUAAACUAUAUUUUUUAAGGAACAGAUUUCAACAAAUAUUCAAAAAUAUACAUCAAAAACACCCAACCAACUUUUAUAUUUCGUAUAUACCAAAUAUAAUGAACGUAUUCUCUCCGAUAUUUGACUUGACGGAUCAAUAUUUUUGUUUUAUGGAAUUAAAAAAUUAACCAAAGGUAUUUCUGUUUUUUUUUUCAAAACUCCGAAGGUUAUAUUUGUCAUCCAUCCUAUUUUUUGUGAGAUAUGGUAAAAGCUAAAUCUUAGAACAAAAAUGCAAUGUUUUCUGAUACGAAUUGAAAGGAUGAAACUGACUGGAAAUAAACUUGGGUUCCUAACAUUACUGAACCUACAAUACAUGGAAUGAAAAUGCAAACUAAACUACCCGGCUUAUAAUGCUCAUGCACGCUUUGCUAGCUUGCAACAAAGCAGUGGUUGUUGACCCAUUCAAUCCAGGAGUCUAGUGGUAUCCGUCUUGCUCUUGGUGGGUCAGGGACUCAGGUCUUGCCCACGGGCUGGGUAACGUAAUUGACAUUCAUGAGAAAUACAAGCAGAAAAUUGGAACAGGUGUUGUUCCCCUCAAAUUAAAUAAAAUAAUUAAAAAAGUAAAAAAAAAAAAAACAGUUCUGUUUUGAUUCCUUACUCGUUCAAAUCAUUAAUCUUGAGUUUGCU